rnacentral:tRNA from 1 species
AAGGAAAUGGAACACGUUUAUCGUCUUAUUUAGUUUUGAGAGGUCUUGUGGGGCCUUAGCUCAGCUGGGAGAGCGCCUGCUUUGCACGCAGGAGGUCAGCGGUUCGAUCCCGCUAGGCUCCAUCAGGAUACAAUCCUACUAAACUUAAUACAAGUGAAGUUGAACACGCAACUCACUUCCUAGGAAAAUGGACAAUCUUCCCUUGUGUGCAAGGCCCACAUGGUCAGAUUCCUAAUUUUCUACAGAAGAUUUCGCUAAAGCGAGCGUUGCUUAGUAUCCUAUAUAAUAGUCCAUUGAAAAUUGAAUAUCUAUUUCAAAUUCCACGAUCUAGAAAUAGAUUUGUACAAAAAGUAACCAGACAAUAAACCGAAAACGCUGUGACUAUUUAAUAAGUUUUCUAGGUUUAAAAACACUA